GAUGAACGCUGGCGGCGUGCCUAAUACAUGCAAGUCGAGCGAACGGACGAGAAGCUUGCUUCUCUGAUGUUAGCGGCGGACGGGUGAGUAACACGUGGAUAACCUACCUAUAAGACUGGGAUAACUUCGGGAAACCGGAGCUAAUACCGGAUAAUAUUUUGAACCGCAUGGUUCAAAAGUAAAAGACGGUCUUGCUGUCACUUAUAGAUGGAUCCGCGCUGCAUUAGCUAGUUGGUAAGGUAACGGCUUACCAAGGCAACGAUGCAUAGCCGACCUGAGAGGGUGAUCGGCCACCCUGGAACUGAGACACCGUCCAGACUCCUGCGGGAGGCCGCAGUCGGGAAUCUUACGCAAUGGGCGGAAGCCUGACGGAGCAACGCCGCGUGAGUGAUGAAGGUCUUCCGAUCGUAAAACUCUGUUAUUAGGGAAGAACAUAUGUGUAAGUAACUGUGCACAUCUUGACGGUACCUAAUCAGAAAGCCACGGCUAACUACGUG
rnacentral:rRNA from 1 species